AUUUUCUGAGAGCCUGCUCUACCAACUGGAGCCUUGCAAAGACCUGAAGUCCAGCAUGCUGGGGUCUCUCAUUCCAAGAUGGAGAAACAGAAGUGAGCUUGCAGACCUGAUUUAAAACACACUAAGGGAAUUGUAGGCCCUUUUUCUAACUAAGGCCAUGGAUUCUUUGACGGCUCCUGAGUGGUGAACAUAGAAACAACAUUCCUCACCCAAGGCUGCACAGGAUCCUCUCUGCUGGAGGAACAUCUAGUUAAUAGGAGAGAAAAAGAAGACAGCUGUCGAGCACUAUUGUGGGUCCAGGAAAAUAGAGAUGUAUGGAAUACUCUUUUAGGACUCGGAGGUCUUAGGAGGGAGCAUUCAAUGACACAAAGAACUAGAGGCUAUGAAGGUGUCCUGCUGCCCUGUUUUAUUUUAUUUUUUCACACAGACUAGAGGCAUCUACCAAGAGAAACUUCAACUGAGAAAGUUCCCCUACAAGAUUGGCUUGUAGGAAGGAACUGCUUCAAUGCAGAAGAAAUUGCUACACAACAGACAAGUACUUGAAAAAUUCACCAAUACAUGGAAAUCAAACAACUCUC